GACGAACGCUGGCGGCGUGCUUAACACAUGCAAGUCGAACGGAAAGGCCCUGCUUGCAGGGUACUCGAGUGGCGAACGGGUGAGUAACACGUGGGUGAUCUGCCCUGCACUUCGGGAUAAGCCUGGGAAACUGGGUCUAAUACCGGAUAGGAGCCAUUUUUAGUGUGAUGGUUGGAAAGUUUUUUCGGUGUAGGAUGAGCUCGCGGCCUAUCAGCUUGUUGGUGGGUAAUGGCCUACCAAGGCGGCGACGGGUAGCCGGCCUGAGAGGGUGGACGGCCACAUUGGGACUGAGAUACGGCCCAGACUCCUACGGGAGGCAGCAGUGGGGAAUAUUGCACAAUGGGCGCAAGCCUGAUGCAGCGACGCCGCGUGGGGGAUGACGGCCUCGGUUGUAACGUA
rnacentral:rRNA from 1 species